AGAUUGAACGCUGGCGGCAGGCCUAACACAUGCAAGUCGGGCGGCAGCACGGGUACUUGUACCUGGUGGCGAGCGGCGGACGGGUGAGUAAUGCCUAGGAAUCUGCCUGGUAGUGGGGGGAUAACGCUCGGAAACGGACGCUAAUACCGCAAUACGUCCUACGGGAGAAAGCAGGGGACCUUCGGGCCUUGCGCUAUCAGAUGAGCCUAGGUCGGAUUAGCUAGUUGUGAGGUAAUGGCUCACCAAGGCGACGAUCCGUAACUGGUCUGAGAGAUGAUCAGUCACACGUGGAACUGACGACACGGUCCAGACUCCGACGGGAGGCAGCAGUGGGAAUAGUGGACAAGUGGGCGAAAGCCUAGAGUCCAGCCAUGCCGCGUGUGAGAGAAGUCUACGGAUUAGUAAG
rnacentral:rRNA from 1 species